rnacentral:rRNA from 1 species
AUACGGAGGGUGCGAGCGUUGUUCGGAAUUAUUGGGCGUAAAGAGCAUGUAGGUGGUCUGUUAAGUCUGGUGUGAAAGCCCGGGGCUCAACCCCGGAAGUGCAUUGGAUACUGGCAGACUUGAGUAUGGGAGAGGAAAGCGGAAUUCCGAGUGUAGGAGUGAAAUCCGUGGAUAUUCGGAGGAACACCAGAGGCGAAGGCGGCUUUCUGGACCAAUACUGACGCUGAGAUGCGAAAGCGUGGGGAGCAAACAGGAUUAGAAACCCUAGUAGUCC